UUCCGCCCACUCUUGUGUCGUGUGGGGCCGGGGCGUCCUUUAGACACAGCACCUGAACGGACCUAAGCUUUGCGGACCGGCAGGAACUCAUGAAGCUACUGAAGCGUUAGCCUGACGACCGGCGUGACGCAGAGGGAAUGUUGUAGAUCGCCUGCACCCGGAGACACCUACGCUGAACUCUUUUCGGACAUGGGUUCGACUCCCAUCGCCUCCACCA
rnacentral:tmRNA from 1 species